UUGAUUACCUUGUUUCCUU
rnacentral:misc_RNA from 1 species